rnacentral:rRNA from 1 species
AGACGUCUACAUUAGAUACCCGGUAGUCCCAGCCGUAAACUAUGCGCGUUAGGUGUAUCGGUGACCACGAGUCACCGAGGUGCCGAAGGGAAACCGUGAAACGUGCCGCCUGGGAAGUACGGUCGCAAGGCUGAAACUUAAAGGAAUUGGCGGGGAGCACCACAACGGGUGGAGCCUGCGGUUUAAUUGGACUCAACGCCGGGAAGCUCACCGGAUAAGACAGCGGAAUGAUUGCCGGGCUGAAGACUCUGCAUGACUAGCUG